rnacentral:tRNA from 1 species
GGUUGUGGCUCAGUGGUAGAGCACUUGCCUGGCACGUAUGGGGUGCUGAGUUCCAUCCUCAGCACCA